CUUAUUACAAGUGAAAAUAAUACUGCAGUCUGAGUAUGAAAAAUAAAAGCACACACCAUUUUUUUAAUUGACUUUUAUUUUGAAACUCGGACGGUAGGGGCCGCCAGAGACCAGGAACUGCUUCAGAGUGGCACCUCUGAUUGGCUAACCCUAACUCUCACCUGACCAAUCAAAUCAUCGGAGGCAACGAACACUAGCCAAUCAGAGGUAGCGGAGGGCGGGUCUUAUGCGCGUGGGAAUGGAGGAUUGUUGGUAUUUUAUCUUUUAAAUAUUAUAAACUGACAUUGUUGGGGGGGGGGGGAAUCGAUUGAUGACAAAUAUAUCAAUGAUCCACUAAAGUCAGGAUCAAUAACAGAUCAAUAACUGUGGUUGUUUGUUGUCUUCGCCGCUGUUUUAAUAGUACGGGAGCCUGGAGGGACAACUGAGUGAGCUCCUCCUGGAGGGAGGAGGUCUAUCGCAGUGCAGGCCAGGCUCCUUUCUACAGAUUUGGAGACGUACUGAGGAGCUGCUCUCUCUCUCUCUCUCAACAGAUUCACCUUAAUGCCUCGAGGUCAACCUCUGUGUCAUGAACUGACUCUUCCUUCCCUGUCACAAUGCGUCGCCACAAAUCAAACCUCAAGAAGCGAAGGAAAGAGGACGCAGAGAGAAAGAGAAUAGCUCGCAUGACCGAGACGCCACAACAAACCGAGCUCCGUCAGGCCCUCGAUAGACAAAGGAAACGCCAACAAAUAGCAAACGAGACGCCAGAAGCUGCAAAGCGUCGCAGAGACUUUAACAAGGAGGCCAUGGCGAGGCACAGAGCCCGAGAAACACCAGAGGCUGCAGAACAUCGCCGACACGUGAACAAACUUGCCAAGGCACGCCACAGAGUGCAGCAAACGCCAGAGGAUGCAGAACGCCGUCGAGCCUCGCACAGACGAGCCAAGGCACGGCGGAGAGCACGAGAAACCCCAGAGGCUGCAGAACGUCGCAGACUCUCAAACAAAGCAGCCAUGGCACGGCGCAGAGCACGACAGAAAGCAGAGCUCUGGAUGGACCAGAUAACUGUGGUGAGAAUAGGUGACACACACAUUGCAGAGGAGCAGGUUAAAGACGACGCUGCAGAGUACUACGAGGAGGAGGAAGAGGAAGACGGUGUUUAUGUCAUUGAGUAUUCAAAUCCUGAAGAGGAGGAGGAGAGCUACCUGUUCACAGUGUCUGCGGACAGAAAGCCAGUAACUAACUCAUCCUGUGGUCGGAGUGAACGCCAGAGCUCCUCUACCUGCGAUGUCUAA
rnacentral:lncRNA from 1 species